GUUGCAGUCACGUGGAGGGCGUUGGGCGGGGCUCCACGGGUUAGGCGCCCGGGCUUGUUGAGGGAAGUAUUGAAAAAAGAUGAAAACAGCCUUCCCUUUCUAUAUGCAUCUGUUGCUGCCAUUUCUGAAGAAAAUGAUGUAUUAAUUGGUUUCAAUUAAGAUGAAAAAGUGAAGCCCUCAGGAGACAAAAACGUUACACAGAACUGGCAAAUAGCAGAAAUGUGAUCCAAAUUCAGAUCACCUGAGAAGAUCCAGAGAACAGUCCCUUCAGCACAGCUGUGAGAGGUGCUCUUACUUUCUGUGUUGUCUGCUAAAAAGGAAAAGGCUUUCAAAGUUCGAUGAAAUGUGAUAUAUGCAGUACCUGUUUUUGUAGAUAGCCUUUAUAAGAUUAAGGUACUUUGACACAUUAAGAGUUGUACAUCUCCUUUUAGCUCUGGAAAUUAACAUCACACCUGCGAAUUUAGAACUGUUACAUGUUCCUGGCUGCUGAGAAUUGUGAAGAGAUAUUUGAGCUUGGAAGAUUGGAUACAGAUUCCAGUAGUGAUGCCCAACCAAGUGGAUAGACUCCUCUGAGACUGUUUUAUCACAAACGAAAGCCAGAAAUUUUACUUGGUCUGUUUGCUUUAGAAGAAUUUCUAAGCAUCAAAUAAAAUAAUUAAUGUGAAUAUAA